rnacentral:rRNA from 1 species
ACACUCCUACGGGAGGCAGCAGUGGGGAAUAUUGCACAAUGGGCGCAAGCCUGAUGCAGCCAUGCCGCGUGUAUGAAGAAGGCCUUCGGGUUGUAAAGUACUUUCAGCGGGGAGGAAGGCGAUAAGGUUAAUAACCUUGUCGAUUGACGUUACCCGCAGAAGAAGCACCGGCUAACUCCGUGCCAGCAGCCGCGGUAAUACGGAGGGUGCAAGCGUUAAUCGGAAUUACUGGGCGUAAAGCGCACGCAGGCGGUCUGUCAAGUCGGAUGUGAAAUCCCCGGGCUCAACCUGGGAACUGCAUUCGAAACUGGCAGGCUAGAGUCUUGUAGAGGGGGGUAGAAUUCCAGGUGUAGCGGUGAAAUGCGCAGAGAUCUGGAGGAAUACCGGUGGCGAAGGCGGCCCCCUGGACAAAGACUGACGCUCAGGUGCGAAAGCGUGGGGAGCAAACAGGAUUAGAAACCCCAGUAGUCCCAUGAU